rnacentral:rRNA from 1 species
UACGGGGGGGAGCAAGCGUUGUUCGGAUUUACUGGGCGUAAAGGGCGCGUAGGCGGUCGUGACAAGUCACUUGUGAAAUCUCCGGGCUUAACUCGGAACGGUCAAGUGAUACUGUCGGACUAGAGUACAGAAGGGGCAACUGGAAUUCUCGGUGUAGCGGUGAAAUGCGCAGAUAUCAGGAGGAACACCAAUUGCGAAGGCAGCUCGCUGGGACGUUACUGACGCUGAGACGCGAAAGCGUGGGGAGCAAACAGG